CACACACAGCAGCCCCCCUUUUUCCCAUUUUCCCUCACUCUUUCUCCUUCCACAAACCCACACACAUGGCCUAGAUUGGGAGAGAAAGAGCUGCAGGUUGAGAGAGAGAGAGAGAGAGAGAGAGAGGGGUACUGCUGGCUGGGAGAAAGAAAGAGAAAGAAGAAGGAGAAGAAGAAAGAAGAAAAAAGAAAAGAAAAGGAAAGUGACGAAUUUGAAGGGGGUUUCGGCUAGGGGUGCUUGAGAGGCAAUGUGGUUAAUGUUGAUGCAGGUGCGGGGAUUAUUGAGGAUGACCCAAUAGUUAUGUAUUUGGGUUACUACAACGUUUGAAGCAUAGUUGCAUCAAAUGUUAUUUUGUCGGACUGGAUAAUAGCCCCCUUUUUGUAGAGCUUACAUGUAUAUGCUUAGACUUUGUUAUUUUGUAUAUGGCUUGUGUCGCAUGUAACACUUUUGUACAGCCAUUCUUUUGUAUGUAAGCCUUAAUCACUUAGAUGUAUUAAUCAGCUAUGAUGUGU